rnacentral:rRNA from 1 species
GUGAAGCGGCAAGAGCUCAAAUUUGAAAGCUGGCCCCUUCGGGGUCCGCGCUGUAAUUUGCAGAGGAUGCUUCGGGUGCAGCCCCCGUCUAAGUGCCCUGGAACGGGCCGUCAUAGAGGGUGAGAAUCCCGUCUGGGACGGGGUGUCUGCGUCCGUGUGAAGCUCCUUCGACGAGUCGAGUUGUUUGGGAAUGCAGCUCUAAAUGGGUGGUAAAUUUCAUCUAAAGCUAAAUACUGGCCGGAGACCGAUAGCGCACAAGUAGAGUGAUCGAAAGAUGAAAAGCACUUUGAAAAGAGAGUUAAACAGCACGUGAAAUUGUUGAAAGGGAAGCGUUUGCGACCAGACUCGCCCGCGGGGUUCAGCCGGCACUCGUGCCGGUGUACUUCCCCGUGGGCGGGCCAGCGUCGGUUUGGGCGGNCGGUCAAAGGCCCUCGGAAUGUAUCACCUCUCGGGGUGUCUUAUAGCCGAGGGUGCAAUGCGGCCUGCCCGGACCGAGGAACGCGCUUCGGCUCGGACGCUGGCGUAAUGGUCGUAAAUGACCCGUCUUGAAACACGGACCA